CGUAGGGUGCAAGCGUUGUUCGGAAUCAUUGGGCGUAAAGCGCGUGCAGGUGGUUAGGUAAGUCGAUUGUGAAAUCCCUGGGCUCAACCGAGGAAGUGCAUUCGAAACUGCUUAGCUAGAGGACGGUAGAGGAAGGUGGAAUUCCAAGUGUAGAGGUGACAUUCGUAGAUAUUUGGAGGAAUACCGGCGGCGAAGGCGGCCUUCUGGACCGAUUCUGACACUGAGACGCGAAAGCGUGGGUAGCAAACAGGAUUAGAUACCCUGGUAGUCCACGCUGUAAACGAUGGGUACUAGGUGUUGCAGGAAUUGACCCCUGCAGUGCCGACGCUAACGCAUUAAGUACCCCGCCUGGGAAGUACGGCCGCAAGGUUA
rnacentral:rRNA from 1 species